ensembl:lncRNA cyclin-dependent kinase inhibitor 1C-like
UAGCUAGCCUACCUACACUGUCUGCCUCAGUCCCUCUGGGCUUUAUUUCCUCUUGUUGAACCGUACUGUGCUCCUUCUCAUAUCACUGACUGGAUAUUGCAUAACAUCAAGGGAGAAAUUGCCUGAAUUCAGUCAUUCUCUGUCCUGAGCACCCGUGACACACUCAGCAUCUUUUAUUUAUACUGUGCUGCUAGCUAUUCUCAGACACACACAUCUGUAUAGGUAGCCCCAUGACAACUCUCUAUCUCUCUCUCUCUCCCGCACACACACACACACACACACACACACACACACACACACACACACACACACACACACACACACACAGCUAGCAACAUGGCCUCCUUUUAUGCCCGUUUUGUGCCAACUCCUCCACCUUUACAAAUACGAUAAGAGCUGAGCCAUAAGAACUCUUCCAGGGCUAUGGUAAUGGUUAACCAGAUAAUGAUUUUUUGGGGGCGGGACUUGCAAACAGACAUAAUUUUUUAUCAACGUUUUUACCCCUCUCUGCUCGCUUGCCCCUCUCAACAAGUUACAUUCAUUUCUACAGGAGGAAAAAUGGAGGGGACGUUCGAUAAAGAGAAACCAGAGUUGGAAUAUAAAAAUCCCAAUGAUAACCAAGGUGGGAUCCAGCGGCAGCUAAGAGACAGAGACCUUCUCAAGAAAAGAAAGGCAGAGGCCGAGGAGAAGGCGAUUAACCAGGUAGAGAGCAGGAGGAAGAGAGCGAGGGGAAGAGAGGAGAAGAGUAGCUCGGGAAGACGAGGAAGGCCGAGGAAGACUGAUCCAACACCGAAGCUUCCGGCUUCCCAGGAAGAGCCAGAACAGGAGGCUGUCAUUGUAAAGGUGGUGUCCAAACCAGUGGAAGCCACCUCUGCCCCUACCUUGAUCUCACUAUCCCCAUUCCUUCCGGUGGACCCUAGCCCGCCAGAAUCACUACCGGCGUAUGUUCCCCCCGUCCCAGCCCCUAUCCCUAUCCCUAUCCUUGCCCCUGCUCCUGUUGUUGCCCCUUCUCCAAUGUAUAACCCUGUUACUGCCCCUGCACCAUCCCUGUUGGAGACCCUGUACACAGAAGGUAGUGACCAGGGUAGUGACACCCUGGACCAGGUGCUGAUUGAGGACUUGGGUCCAGAUGAGAAGGAAGACGUCCCUCCAUCUCAAAACAACUGGGGCACUGAUCAAGGUUCAAAUGAGGAGCCGUCUGUCAAUGUGCCUGAACAGAAUAGAGUGUUCUCUACGUUCCCCAGGUUCUACACUGGUGCUCCUUCACAAGAUCAUCCACCAAGAACCUUCUUCUGAAAUCCACUCAGAUCUGGCCUCUGAUAACAUACAGACAGAUUACAUGCAAAGUAAUCUAUUCUGUCAACAUGUGCAUUUGAGAGGUGAUGCAGUUUAGCCUUACUGGUUAACUCAUCCUUGUAAUUUUGAGCCUGAUAGGGUAUGGAUACGAAAUGCAUGAAUUCCAGCUUUAAACCUACCCAUGGAUUUAUUUAUUUCUGCUUCAUGAAUGGUGUCUAAAUUUGUUAUGUUGCAAGAACUGCACUGUCUGUAUUUAAUAAAUGAUUUGUACAAGCUAAAUAUGGCAGCAUUUGAAAGUACAUUUGUAUUUAAUCAUUUCUGGUAACUGUGUUUUCUAAUUGUGAUUUAAAUUUUUUUUUAUACCAAUGGUUUAUUUGAGAUAAGCGCUAUGAUAAUAAAGGUGUGAUGCUUUGUUGAUAAUAUGACUGUCUCCUUGUUAUGAUCAUCUACAAAACAAGAACAAGUCUCAGUUGUUCAAUACUAC